rnacentral:rRNA from 1 species
GUCUUCGGCCAAACCACCCUGAACUCGCCUGAUCUCCUCUGAUCUCAGAAGCUAAGCAGGGUCGGGCCUGGUUAGUACUUGGAUGGGAGACUUUGUCCUUGUAAGAAGUUGUUGGCAAAU